GAAAACAAGACUUGGAAAAUUUUCAUAUUUAUUCUUUUAGCUGAAAAUAUUGGAAAACAUUAAAAUUUAUAUGUAUUACAUAUCCAUGUAUAAGAGUAAAAUUUGCUAUUAGUUUACAACAGCUUUUGCACACGGCUCUACCUUAAAAUACCGUUAAUGGUUUCGUGUGCAUUUUAUUGGUUCGACAGUACCUAAUUACUGUAGUGUGGUGUAGUGUAGUGUGUCUACUACAAUAUCGUUUCGUAAAUGCACACCUCACUACUCAGCUUAAAAUUUGUGGAAAUAUUUUCUAAAGUGGUAAUGUGCUGAAAAGUGUUCAACAACAAACAUAUCUAUAAAACCACAAACAUUCGAAACAAAAUCAUCAGUCAGUACUAAAAGUUGCUUAAACAACAACAUCUGAAAUCUAUUUUUCUUGUAAAAAAAAACUAAAAACAAACUAUCAAACAAAAUGCCUUGCCCCUGCGGAACUGGUUGCAAAUGCACUUCCCAAAACCAAACUGGCAAUUGCGGUUGCGGAACCUCUUGCAAAUGCGGAUCCAGCAAGUAAUAAUCUUAGCUGAUGCCCGAGAAUGUAUUUAAUUAAGACUCAAUUUAUCCAACUAUUUUUCCUACAUAUCAAAUGUUUUAAAUUAAUUUAAGAAAAAUUAAUUUAUUUGGCUUUAAUAUUUUUUGACAAAUAAAUGAAAUAAUUAAAAAAAAAACAUUAAAAACAAA